AGGACGUUGAUAGGUCAGGUGUGGAAGUGCAGUAAUGCAUUAAGCUAACUGAUACUAAUUGCCCGUACGGCUUGUCCCU
rnacentral:rRNA from 1 species